GUGCUCACUUCAGCAGCAAAUAUACUAAAAUUGGAACAGCAGAGAGAUUAGUGUGGCCCCUGCCCAAGGAUGACACACAAAUUCGUGACAUGUUGCGUAUUUUU